UAGCCCAGAGCAUUCAGAGCGAUGUC
rnacentral:piRNA from 1 species